UACGUAGGGGGCAAGCGUUAUCCGGAUUUACUGGGUGUAAAGGGAGUGUAGGUGGCCUGGCAAGCCAGAUGUGAAAGCCCGCGGCUCAACUGCGGGACUGCAUUUGGAACUGUUAGGCUUGAGUGCAGGAGAGGAAAGUGGAAUUCCUAGUGUAGCGGUGAAAUGCUUAGAUAUUAGGAGGAACACCAGUGGCGAAGGCGGCUUUCUGGACUGUAACUGACACUGAGGCUCGAAAGCGUGGGGAGCAAACAGG
rnacentral:rRNA from 1 species